UCAUCUCCAUCCUUUCUUCUUUCUGCUUUCGGCUUCUCUACAGUGUUGCCUUGUGGCGUGGAGUUCAAGCAGCAUUGUACAGGGCUAUCAAAGCAUAGAGAGCUACAGCGGAGGCGAGCA
rnacentral:pre_miRNA from 12 species